GGCGGAGCCUGCGCGUUGAGAGGAGCCCGCCAGCGGCCACUGCGCAGGCGCUGGGCAGCUCGCCGGACUCCCGCAGCGCUUCUCCAAAAGUUCCAGUCCAGCGGGUGGACCACCGUGCAGCGCAGCUGCACACAACAGAGAAGGCAAAAGGAAACUCCCGGGGGGGCUCCGUUGGCUUCUAUGGGAGUGACAAAGAUGCUUUCCCUCUAGAAGCCCGGAAGCUUUCUCCUUUGCAAUCCAAUGAGGGUGAAGUGAACGCCGCUCUUCCUUGUGAAGCGCCCUGCCAGGAAGAGCCAGUUGUGUGUGGACCCGCGGUACCUGGCCGUCCCCUUCCAGGCUGGAUUCCGCAGAGGUUUGCCUUUUGUGGACAUUUCCUAAAAAUGGAAUCAUGUAAUAUGGAGUCUUUUGUGACUGGUCCCUUAUACUGAUACUGGAUAUUCAUGUUAUUUCCAGGCAUUCUGGCUUCAAGAUGGAUGAUGAACUUUCAAAAAAGAAAGUGAUGGAAAAUCAUCAAAAUUACCAUAAACUGUGCUGCCAACUAAAUAUAUUUUCCUUUAUAGCAUGUGCAGAGUCCAGGAAAAUUAUAUUCCUGCAUUAUAUAAUCCGCCAACAGCCUCCUUACCUACUGCCUUAAUCCGGGUUAUUCUUGAAUGCAGAGCCUGAGACAAAGGUAUACCCAUUCUAUUUGGGAAUGUGAUCCCAGGGAGCAAGAAUAAAAGAGGAGUGAACGGGGGUAAAGAGGAAAGA
rnacentral:lncRNA from 1 species